AUUGAACGCUGGCGGCGUGCUUAACACAUGCAAGUCGAUCGGUAACGCGGGGGCAACCCUGGCGACGAGAGGCGGACGGGUGAGGAACGCUUGGGAAUCUGCCUAUCAGCGGGGGACAACACGGGGAAACUCGUGCUAAUACCGCAUACGCUCUACGGAGGAAAGCCGGGGACCGCAAGGCCUGGCACUGAUAGAUGAGCCCAAGCCGGAUUAGCUAGUUGGCGGGGUAACGGCCCACCAAGGCGACGAUCCGUAGCUGGUCUGAGAGGACGAUCAGCCACACUGGGACUGAGACACGGCCCAGACUCCUACGGGAGGCAGCAGUGGGGAGUAUUGGACAAUGGGGGAAACCCUGAUCCAGCGACGCCGCGUGGGUGAAGAAGGCCUGCGGGUUGUAAAGCCCUUUCGGUAGGGACGAAAGCUCUCGACCUAACACGUCGGGAGGAUGACUUAACCUACAAAAGAAGCACCGGCUAACUCUGUGCCAGCAGCCGCGGUAAUAC
rnacentral:rRNA from 1 species